rnacentral:rRNA from 1 species
AUUGAACGCUGGCGGCAGGCCUAACACAUGCAAGUCGAGCGGAUGACGGGAGCUUGCUCCUUGAUUCGGCGGCGGACGGGUGAGUAAUGCCUAGGAAUCUGCCUGGUAGUGGGGGACAACGUUUCGAAAGGAACGCUAAUACCGCAUACGUCCUACGGGAGAAAGCAGGGGACCUUCGGGCCUUGCGCUAUCAGAUGAGCCUAGGUCGGAUUAGCUAGUUGGUGGGGUAAUGGCUCACCAAGGCGACGAUCCGUAACUGGUCUGAGAGGAUGAUCAGUCACACUGGAACUGAGACACGGUCCAGACUCCUACGGGAGGCAGCAGUGGGGAAUAUUGGACAAUGGGCGAAAGCCUGAUCCAGCCAUGCCGCGUGCGUGAAGAAGGUCUUCGGAUUGUAAAGCACUUUAAGUUGGGAGGAAGGGCAGUAAGUUAAUACCUUGCUGUUUUGACGUUACCGACAGAAUAAGCACCGGCUAACUCUGUGCCAGCAGCCGCAGUAA